UAGGGCAUCCCCAAUGGAGGCUCUAUACUCCAUUGGGCUCUAAAUUAUAGAACUUCUGCAAAAAAAGGCAACACCAACAAGAGUUCUAGUGGGUAUGCAAAUUUAGAGACUUUCACCAAAUUCCUAAAUGUUUUCCUAAAUAUGUGAUUUCAUUUGGAGACUCUCUAUUUGCUGGGUCCCACGGCUUUUUAUUUCUUUUUCGUUUUUCCUUCUUAGUUUUUAAGGGGUGCUUAUUUUAUAUUUAUAUAAUUCGAAAAAAGAUGUAUUUAUUAUUUUCAUUAUAUUUGAACAUAUAUUUGUGUUAAUAAUUUGUCAUUUCAUUUGUUAGAAUUAUUUUUCUAUAGAAAUGUAGAUAAAAUAAUUAAUGGCAGGGAUCAAUUGGUGUAUAUAUCUUUUUUCAUUAUAUUUGAACAUAUAUCAUAUCUUUUCAG
rnacentral:lncRNA from 1 species